rnacentral:rRNA from 1 species
GACGAACGCUGGCGGCGUGCUUAACACAUGCAAGUCGAACGGUAAGGCCCUUCGGGGUACACGAGUGGCGAACGGGUGAGUAACACGUGGGUGAUCUGCCCUGCGCUUCGGGAUAAGCCUGGGAAACUGGGUCUAAUACCGGAUAGGACCACUGCCUGCAUGGGUGGUGGUGGAAAGCUUUUGCGGUGUGGGAUGGGCCCGCGGCCUAUCAGCUUGUUGGUGGGGUGAUGGCCUACCAAGGCGACGACGGGAAGCCGGCCUGAGAGGGUGACCGGCCACACUGGGACUGAGAUACGGCCCAGACUCCUACGGGAGGCAGCAGUGGGGAAUAUUGCACAAUGGGCGCAAGCCUGAUGCAGCGACGCCGCGUGAGGGAUGACGGCCUUCGGGUUGUAAACCUCUUUCAGCACCGACGAAGCGCAAGUGACGGUAGGUGCAGAAGAAGGACCGGCCAACUACGUGCCAGCCGCCGCAGUAA